GACGAACGCUGGCGGCGUGCUUAACACAUGCAAGUCGAGCGGAGCGGCGAACGGGUGAGUAACGCGUGAAUAACUGCCCCCCUCUCUGGGAUAACAGUUGGAAACGGCUUCUAAUACCGGAUAGUGGGGGAUGACUCGCGUCCUAUCAGCUUGUUGGUGGGGUAGUUGCCUACCAAGGCGACGCCGGGUAGCCGGACUGAGAGGGCGACCGGCCACAUUGGGAUGAGAUACGGGCCAAGCUCCUACGGGAUGCAGCAGUGGGGAAUAUUGCACAUGGGGGGAAACCAUGAUGCAGCAACGCCGCGUCCGGGAUGACGGCCAUCGGGUUGUAAACCGCUUUCAGCCAUGACGCGGUAGUGGCAGAAGAAGCACCGGCUAACUACGUGCCAGCAGCCGCGGUAAUAC
rnacentral:rRNA from 1 species